GUGAAGAACGUAGCGAAAUGCGAUACGUAAUGUGAAUUGCAGAAUUCAGUGAAUCAUCGAGUCUUUGAACGCACAUUGCGCCCCCUGGUAUUCGGGGGGCAUGCCUGUCCGAGCGUCAUUGCUGCCCUCAAGCACGGCUUGUGUGUUGGGCCUCCGUCCUCCUCCCGGGGGACGGGCCCGAAAGGCAGCGGCGGCACCGCGUCCGGUCCUCGAGCGUAUGGGGCUUCGUCACCCGCUCUUGUAGGCCCGGCCGGCGCUUGCCGACACAUCAAUCUUUUUUCCAGGUUGACCUCGGAUCAGGUAGGGAUACCCGCUGAACUUAAGCAUAUCAAUAAGCGGAGGA
rnacentral:misc_RNA from 1 species